GCUGGGUGUAGUGGUGCGCACCUGUGGUCCCAGCUACUUGGAGGCAGAGGUGGGAGGAUUGCCUGAGACCAGGAGUUCAAGGCUGCCGUGCGCUUUGAUCACACCUGUAAAUAGCCACUGCACUCCAGCCUGGGCAACGUAGUGUGGCCCUGCCUCUU
rnacentral:SRP_RNA from 1 species